rnacentral:rRNA from 1 species
CCUACGAGGAGCAGCAGUGAGGAAUAUUGGUCAAUGGGAGGAAUCCUGAACCAGCCAUGCCGCGUGCAGGACGACGGCUCUACGAGUUGUAAACUGCUUUUGUACCGGGGUAAAAUGCUCUACGAGUAGGGUUUUGAAAGUACGGUACGAAUAAGGAUCGGCUAACUCCGUGCCAGCAGCCGCGGUAAUAAGGAGGAUACGAGCGUUAUCCGGAUUCGUUGGGUUUAAAGGGUGCGUAGGUUGUUUUAUAAGUUAGCGGUGAAAUACCGAUGCUCAACAUCGGGGCUGCCGCUAAUACUGUAGGACUAGAGAUCGGAUGCAGCAGGCGGAAUGUGGAGUGUAGCGGUGAAAUGCAUAGAUAUUACACAGAACACCGAUUGCGAAGGCAGCUUGCUAGGCCGGAUCUGACACUGAUGCACGAAAGCGUGGGGAUCGAACAGGAUUAGAUACCCGGGUAGUC